rnacentral:rRNA from 1 species
UACGUAGGUGGCAAGCGUUAUCCGGAUUUAUUGGGCGUAAAGGGAACGCAGGCGGUCUUUUAGGUCUGAUGUGAAAGCCUUCGGCUUAACCGGAGUAGUGCAUUGGAAACUGGGAGACUUGAGUGCAGAAGAGGAGAGUGGAACUCCAUGUGUAGCGGUGAAAUGCGUAGAUAUAUGGAAGAACACCAGUGGCGAAAGCGGCUCUCUGGUCUGUAACUGACGCUGAGGUACGAAAGCGUGGGUAGCAAACAGG